UACGUAGGGGGCAAGCGUUGUCCGGAAUCAUUGGGCGUAAAGAGCGUGUAGGCGGCCUGAUAAGUCGGUUGUGAAAGUCAAGGGCUCAACCCUUGAAUGCCGUCCGAUACUGUCAGGCUAGAGUCCGGAAGAGGCGAGUGGAAUUCCUGGUGUAGCGGUGAAAUGCGCAGAUAUCAGGAGGAACACCAAUGGCGAAGGCAGCUCGCUGGGACGGUACUGACGCUGAGACGCGAAAGCGUGGGGAGCGAACAGG
rnacentral:rRNA from 1 species